rnacentral:rRNA from 1 species
UACGGAGGGUGCGAGCGUUGUCCGGAAUCAUUGGGCGUAAAGGGCGCGUAGGUGGCCCGGUCAGCGUGCGGUGAAAGCUCGGGGCUCAACCCCGAGUCGGCCGUGCGAACUGCUGGGCUGGAGCACUGUAGAGGCAGGCGGAAUUCCGGGUGUAGCGGUGGAAUGCGUAGAGAUCCGGAAGAACACCGGUGGCGAAGGCGGCCUGCUGGGCAGUUGCUGACACUGAGGCGCGACAGCGUGGGGAGCAAACAGG